rnacentral:rRNA from 1 species
UACAGAGGGGCAAGCGUUGUCCGGAAUUAUUGGGCGUAAAGGGCGCGUAGGCGGCCAUUCAAGUGACGGGUGAAAGCCCUCGGCUUACCGAGGAACUGCCUGUCAGACUGGAUGGCUUGAGACCGGGAGAGGUGAGUGGAAUUCCCAGUGUAGCGGUGAAAUGCGUAGAGAUGUGGAGGAACACCAGUGGCGAAGGCGACUCUUUGGUCUGUAAACUGACGCUGAGGCGCGAAAAGCGUGGGGAGCGAACAGG